rnacentral:rRNA from 1 species
AGCUAACGCGUUAAGUCGACCGCCUGGGGAGUACGGCCGCAAGGUUAAAACUCAAAGGAAUUGACGGGGGCCCGCACAAGCGGCGGAGCAUGCGGAUUAAUUCGAUGCAACGCGAAGAACCUUACCAAGGCUUGACAUACACUGGACCGUUCUGGAAACAGUUCUUCUCUUUGGAGCUGGUGUACAGGUGGUGCAUGGUUGUCGUCAGCUCGUGUCGUGAGAUGUUGGGUUAAGUCCCGCAACGAGCGCAACCCUCGUUCUAUGUUGCCAGCACGUGAUGGUGGGAACUCAUAGGAGACUGCCGGGGUCAACUCGGAGGAAGGUGGGGAUGACGUCAAAUCAUCAUGCCCUUUAUGUCUUGGGCUUCACGCAUGCUACAAUGGCUGGUACAGAGAGAGGCGAACCCGUGAGGGUAAGCGAAUCCCUUAAAGCCAGUCUCAGUUCGGAUCGUAGUCUGCAAUUCGACUACGUGAAGUCGGAGUCGCUAGUAAUCGCAGAUCAGCAACGCUGCGGUGAAUACGUUCCCGGGCCUUGUACACACCGCCCGUCAAGUCACGAAAGUCGGUAACACCCGAAGCCGGUGGCCCAACCCUUGUGGAGGGGGCCGUCUAAGGUGGGACUGGUGAUUGGGACUAAGUCGUAACAAG